UGGAAAAAUUAUUAUAAUUGCUCGAAAUAAUAAAAAGAAACACACCCUUCAGUUAUUUGCGCCUCACUGUUUGUGUGACACUCACCUAACAAAUUAAUGCACCUUCUUCUUCAAAUUAAAUUGGGAUAUAACCAUAACCACUAAAUAUAAGGCAAAAGCAGAAGUUGCAGAUUUAACCUAAGCCCUAAAUGGUGAAAGUAGCGGAGAAUCUGGGGCAGGGCUAGCCAGUGGAAGCAAGGGAGAAUGGUUGGAACGGUGGGGCUAGGACGGUGGGGAGAAGUUCCAAAUUUAACCCAAGCCCUAGAUGGUGGAAGCAGUGGAGAAUGGCUGGAACGGGUGGGGUUGGAACAGCUUGCAUGCGAGUUGGAGAUGGUGGUGGCUUGCAAAGUCGCUGGAGUAGUGGAAGUGUGGAAGCAGAGGAGAAGAUGAGAAGAGAAGAGAAAGGUACAAAUGGGAAGGGGAGAUUUGGGCGAAAUUUCUCACAUGAGAGUUGCAAGAUUAUUCUUGAUUAUCUCAGUUAAUGGCUUCAUUUUUUCCCUAGGAGUUUUAGCUCAUUUACGUAUACUCAUGUAUAGUCAUGUGAAUGUUGCAAUACAUAGGUACACUGGAGAAUGUUGAAGAUCUCAACAUUUUCCAUCACAAUUAUGGUUGUUAGGAUGUCAAGGUUGCUGUUGAAAUUUCCUUCAUGGAAGUUGUUUUGGCAUGCACACAAACUGUGACAUUUCAAGCUUUUUGGUAGUGGUUUAAUACUGUUUGGUUGUGGAAAGUAAAAUCCCCAAUGUAUGGUUCAGUUUGUUGGGCAUCCUCAAAAGGUCUUUUUGGGGCUCCAUUUGUAGUCGAUUGUUCUGUAAGUGGUACUGGUGAAUAUCAAAUGAAAGAAUUUACUGCUCGCGAGUGUUGUAUCUCGUAAUCGUUGUAUGGUUGAUUAAAAAAUUGCUUUUUAAAUUACUAUCUUUUUAUA